GUUGACUGCCACAGAGGAGGAAUCUCCUUCUGAAGAUUGCUCCUUGGGGAGUUUCCUAUGAGCCUAUGACACUGGAUCUGGAACUAACUUAGUUUUGGUCACUGGCACAGGCUGCCCAGGGCAGUGGUCAUGGCAUCAACACGGCAGUGUUCAAGAAGUGUCUGGACACCACUCUUGGACAUACAUUCUAAUUUUUGGUGGUGCUGUGCGGAGCCAGAAAUUGGACUCCAUGAUCCUAUGCAUCCCUUACAACUCAGAAUAUUCUAUGAUUCUAUGACUCCCCACAAGUGCUCACCCACUUCAUACCAAAGAUAAAUGUGGAAGAAUAAGCACCCACCAGGAAGAGGAAGAAGAUUUAAUUCAUGAAAAAGGUAUUGGAACGUCUUUGAAAAACUUGCCCUAGCUUUGCAGAACAUAAAAACCCAGAAGAAAAAAAAAAAAAAAAA